rnacentral:rRNA from 1 species
ACUACAUGAAGCUGGAAUCGCUAGUAAUCGCGGAUCAGAAUGCCGCGGUGAAUACGUUCCCGGGUCUUGUACACACCGCCCGUCACACCAUGGGAGUCGGAAAUGCCCGAAGUCUGUGACCCAACCGCGAGGAGGGAGCAGCCGAAGGCAGGUCGGAUGACUGGGGUGAAGUCGUAACAAGGUAAC